rnacentral:rRNA from 1 species
UACGUAGGGACCGAGCGUUGUCCGGAAUCAUUGGGCGUAAAGAGCGUGUAGGCGGCCACUUAAGUCCUGCGUGAAAUCUUGCGGCUCAACCGCAAGCGGUCGUGGGAAACUGGGUGGCUAGAGUGCGGGAGAGGAGAGUGGAAUUCCUGGUGUAGCGGUGGAAUGCGCAGAUAUCAGGAAGAACACCCGUGGCGAAGGCGGCUCUCUGGAACGCAACUGUCGCUGAGACGCGAAAGCGUGGGGAGCAAACAGG